CAGUCCAAUAAAAAGAGGCGUCCUUAUACAAAACCCUAAUUCAUGUAAAACCCCUAUUUAAACGCAGCAGCCACCUCAACAUCCCUCGCCGUUGCCACUACUCGUGAUGAAGUUGCUUAAUUUAUGUCUGGACUUAUGAAAAUUGUCUAUGAUUUUACAUGCAAUCUUCUGAGCCGAUAAUAUGUUUUCCGGCUUUAUUUAUUUUCCUCUGGCCUGCAAAUCUCCAUUUGAUCACUUCUGCUAAA